GAGGGUAUAGCUCAGUGGUAGAGCACAAGCUUAGCAUGCAUGAGGUCCUGGGUUCAAUCCUCAGUACCUCCA
rnacentral:tRNA from 1 species